rnacentral:rRNA from 1 species
CUACGGGCUGCUGCAGUGAGGAAUAUUGCACAAUGGGGGGAACCCUGAUGCAGCAACGCCGCGUGGAGGAUGACGCAUUUCGGUGUGUAAACUCCUUUUAUAUGUCAAGAAAAUGACGGUAGCAUAUGAAUAAGCACCGGCUAACUCCGUGCCAGCAGCCGCGGUAAUACGGAGGGUGCAAGCGUUACUCGGAAUCACUGGGCGUAAAGGACGCGUAGGCGGGUUGGAAAGUCAGGUGUGAAAUCCUACAGCUUAACUGUAGAACUGCACUUGAAACUUCUAAUCUAGAGUAUGGGAGGGGGAGAUGGAAUUAGUGGUGUAGGGGUAAAAUCCGUAGAUAUCACUAGGAAUACCUAAAGCGAAGGCGAUCUCCUGGAACAUUACUGACGCUAAGGCGUGAAAGCGUGGGGAGCAAACAGGAUUAGAUACCCUAGUAGUC